CCCGACUCAGCAGUGGCAAUUUGUAACACUCACCGGGAAGGUCUGCAGCUUUGCUCCUGAAGCCAGCGAGACCACGAACCCACCGGGAGGAACGAACAACUCCAGAUGCGUCGACUUAAGAGCUGUAACACUCACUGCGAAAGUCUGCAGCUUUACUCCUGAGCUAGUGAGACCACGAACCCACCAGGAGGAAGAAACUCUGAACACAUCCGAACGUCAGAAAGAAUAAACUCUGGACACGCCGCCUUUAAGAACUGUAACACUUACCGCGAGGGUCUGCGGCUUCAUUCUUGAAGUCAGUGAGACCAAGAACCCACCAAUUCUGGACACAUUUUCGUGGUUUGAUAGCACGUUUCCUUUUAGCACUGAAUAAUGUCUGGCUAUUCCACAGUUUUUCAAAGCAGAUUAAUUAUGCCCUGGCUACCAACUUGCUUGAGUUGGGUGGAACAGAAAAACCCCCCCAAUCAAAUAAGCUACACGCACCAGAUGUAUUACUUACAGAUAGGCAGCAAGGGACAGCGUAGCCUAGGACUCAGCCAGUCCCCCGAGGCUCACAAAAGCUGCCUGGGGUGAAUGGAGUCUUGUCAGUGUGUAUGUCUUGCUUACCUCACUAGCAAACUGCCCUGGGUUUUGUAUCCUAGGGACAACAGGACUUGGUGGGCUAAAAUGUUGAAGGACGUCCUAUUUCUUUCUUGUUUUCUUUUUUUUUAAAGGAUAUUCUAUUUCUAGGAGGGCCUGGAAUAGAGCUCAGGCUGUGCUGUCCAGUCCCUCGUUAUCCCAGGAUGCUGCAUUCCCAGAACAAUCUACGGUUAUUCUUGAAUACUAUAAGUGAGAAAGCGGAGAACUGGGUGGCCCAAGGCCACCCGGAGAACUGUCUGCCAAUCAUCAAUAGAAUUUCAGACCAAUUGUCUUGAAUGCAACAAAGCUGCUAAAUCCUCUCAACUCCCCUGGACCCAGCACUUUGCAUGGGAAGAGAAUGGAACCAGGAUGAUUAUUUCCUGUAGCCAUCCACAUGGCAUCGAAGGAGGAAAGGUGUAACAAGCCAUUUUGUCCAUUUGAAGCAAUUACUCAAACUGCUCCCACCAAGACCAGAAUGUUUCAAUGAUGUCUGUGAGCAGGCACCAGUUAGGAGGUUAUUAUAAUAAUCUGGAACGUAAGGACAAGAACCUGAACUGGAGAGACAGCAGUGAACAGAUAAGAGAAAGCAAGAGACAGAAACAAGGUAUUUUCAUGAAAAAGAGCAAUAUCACUUGGAAACUAAAUAGAGGGAAAGGAGAGAAGGAUUAAUCAAUGCCAAGGCCGUUGUUGGAUGUAAUCAGGUUAUCUCCAGUUGGAUCACCCCAUGGGCAGCUACAACCAACGAAUCUAAAACUUAACAGAUUUAGGCCACCUGUUACAUUCAGUGGUUCUGUCACUCCCUCAGCCAUCUGCAUUUGAAACUUUAGAUGGUCUUUGAUUCUACUCAUA
rnacentral:lncRNA from 1 species